UACGUAGGGUGCAAGCGUUGUCCGGAAUUAUUGGGCGUAAAGAGCUCGUAGGCGGCUUGUCGCGUCGGCUGUGAAAACCUGGGGCUCAACCCCGGGCCUGCAGCCGAUACGGGCAAGCUAGAAUUCGGUAGGGGAGACUGGAAUUCCUGGUGUAGCGGUGAAAUGCGUAGAGAUCAUGAGGAAGACCAGUGGCGAAGGCGGGUCUCUGGACAGUUCCUGACACUGAGACACGAAGGCCAGGGGAGCAAACGGG
rnacentral:rRNA from 1 species